CAGCCUAUAUAUUAUCGUCUGGCAAAUUACACAUGAGCUACUUGUGCAGCGGUCUAAGUGGCUGUUUGCAUUGAUAAGUGGUUAGUGGGUGGAGGACGGAUGUGUGAAACCACAUAAUUAGAUUUGCCAAAUCUAUUUUAGCUACCAGUGCAGCUGUGCGGUUUCACAACUUACUACAAACACUUAUCAGCCACUUAGAGCGCCACGAUAUUUGUGGCGCGGUCAACACAACUCUGUACGGUGAAAUUGGCCAGACCCUCUUUCAGGGUCUGGGUCCGCGAGACUAGAUAAUUAUAUGCCAUCAAAUUAAGAAACUCACAAGCAAUUAAUUGUGAGUACAGUAUGACUUUCUGUGUAUCUACAGUACACAGUGAUGUCUGUACUCACUGAUAAUAAUCCAGAGACUACAGCAUCUUCAUUCUGAUCACAGCUAUGUAGCUAACAGAUUGAUCCUUUUGCCAACAAGACACACCCUUUUCCCUGUCACAUGCAAUAACAUUGCUGAUUCAGCAAAUAUGCACAUGUUAAUUUUAGGAGUUGAAACAAGAAGUGACUGUUGGACCAUGGAACAAGUGGCCAAACAUUCACUGUCUGGAUUUGUAGGAAGCUCUGUCCAGUCCUAUUGUGGGCCACAGUGACAUAGCCAGGACCAUGGAGAGAGACCAUGUACAGUCUACUGGUGCAAGCACUGAGGAAGCCAACGUCGUAUAGUUGAGGAGACAAGAAGAGGCACUGAGAAUGGAGGUACAGGUACAGAGCACAUUAGCUGGAAAAUGCAUUUGUGUCAACUUUGUGGAGUCCCUUAAAGUUAUUCAAGGCCUACUAUGCUUUUAAGAGAGGGGCCUCAAGUAAACUGGCCAUUCAGAUGCUAACAGACCUCAGCAGUAUGGAAAAGGGUCUGUCAUCAGAGACUAAAAACUCCCCUGACACCCAGCCCUUACAUGCAGCCCACCUCCAGUCUGGUGAGCAGCCUAAGCAGUGAGGGACAGUCUGAAGACAUAGGUCCUUGGACAGGGGCUACUGAGGAACCUUUAUCAAGAACAAGUUCCCGAGCCCCACCCCUCUCUGUCUGACUCGAAAGAGGAGAUAGACUUUGGAUUCUGGGAGAAGGCGUCCACCCUACCCUCGGACAAGACCCCAACCAAGGACCUGAACUUGUUAUGAGACUUGUCUAUUUCUGUACCGACAAUGUAAUAUGUAAAAUCAAACAUUAUGUGUACGAACUCUUGCCAUUGUUUUUACUUUAUUUUUCUCUUUUAAUUUUACAAUCCAAACAAACAUUAACGAAAUUCUCAAUCUCUGAUGUAAUCUUAUACGAUAGAAAAGCACAUUUCUCACAACAUGAAAUAAUGAUAAUCACCUCAUCAACUUCAAAA